rnacentral:rRNA from 1 species
AUUGAACGCUGGCGGCAUGCUUUACACAUGCAAGUCGGACGGCAGCACAGAGAAGCUUGCUUCUUGGGUGGCGAGUGACGAACGGGUGAGUAACAUAUCGGAACGUACCGAGCAGUGGGGGAUAACUAAUCGAAAGAUUAGCUAAUACCGCAUAUUUUCUGAUGAAGAAAGCAGGGGACCUUUGGGCCUUGCUCUGUUUUAGCGGCCGAUAUCUGAUUAGCUAGUUGGUGGGGUAAAGGCCUACCAAGGCGACGAUCAGUAGCGGGUCUGAGAGGAUGAUCCGCCACACUGGGACUGAGACAGGGCCCAGACUCCUACGGGAGGCAGCAGUGGGGAAUGUUGGACAAUGGGCGCAAGCCUGAUCCAGCCAUGCCGAGUGUCUGAAGAAGGCCUUCGGGUUGUAAAGGACUUUUGUCAGGGAAGAAAAGGGCUGGGUUAAUACCCCUGUCUGAUGACGGUACCUGAAGAAUAAGCACCGGCUAACUACGUG